UGGGGAUGACGUCAAGUCCUCAUGGCCCUUAUGACCAGGGCUACACACGUGCUACAAUGGCCGGUACAAAGAGUUGCGAUACCGCGAGGUGGAGCUAAUCUCAUAAAGCCGGUCUCAGUUCGGAUUGGAGUCUGCCAACUCGACUCCAUGAAGUUGGAAUCGCUAGUAAUCGCGGAUCAGCACGCCGCGGUGAAUACGUUCCCGGGUCUU
rnacentral:rRNA from 1 species